GGGUGUUUGGUCUAGUGGUAUGAUUCUUGCUUUGGGUGUAAGAGGUUGUGAGUUGAAUUCUCACAACACCCC
rnacentral:tRNA from 1 species